AUUGAACGCUGGCGGCAGGCCUAACACAUGCAAGUCGAACGGCGCGGCGGACGGGGAAGGGAGGCCUAGGAAUCGGCCUGUUAGUGAGGGAGCACGUCCGGGAACGGACGCUAUUACCACAUACUAUCAGAUCAGUCUCGGUCGGAUUAGCUAGUUGGUGGGGUAAAGGCUUACCAAGGCGACGAUACCUAGCUGGUCUGAGAGGAUGAUCAGUCACACUGGAACUGAGACACGGUCCAGACUCCUACGGGAGGCAGCAGUGGGGAAUAUUGGACAAUGGGCGAAAGCCUGAUCCAGCCAUGCCGCGUGUGUGAAGAAGGUCUUCGGAUUGUAAAGCACUUUAAGUGGGGAGGCGUUACCAACAGAAGAAGCACCGGCUAACUCCGUGCCAGCAGCCGCGGUAAUUC
rnacentral:rRNA from 1 species